GUGGGAGUCACCAUCGAUCGAUUUCGAAGCUCGUGCUCUGGUCGUUUGUUGCUGCUGAAUCGUGGCUAUGUCCUGCUUCAUCUCGUCCGUGCGUGUAGUCAGCCAGCUGAUACUGUUGUCGAAUGGGUAGUAGAGAUCAUCAAGCCUCUUGUAGAAAUCAUCUUAUGACAUCCUUAAAGCUCUGUAGCUCCCUUGUGCCCUCUCAUCAACCUCUUCUUUGUUGUAAGUGCAUGGCUCUGGCAUGGACUGAGUGUAUCCCUCUGCAUGUUUUGGAAGACAUAUAUAAGAGCGCUCAUGCAUUGCAGCUCUUUCAAGAAUGACUCUGAUGUCCUCCUUUGACACAUGGAUGCCUCUACCAUCUACAACUCGUGCAUAUCCAUGAUCAUCUCUGUAGACAAUAUACUCAUCUCUCUUUUUACAAUGAAAUAUGCUUUGUCCGUUCUGAUCAUAGGCUCUCCGUCCGAACUCUAGGCAAUUGUCGAUCGAUGGUGGGACUGGACCGUCGAUCGAUUUUCGACC
rnacentral:lncRNA from 1 species